AGAUCCGUAGGUCAGGAUUGGAAGCACAGUGUGGUCGAAAAGCUUUAUAAUGAGGUCGAUUGGGAGGCUUGAGUUUUUUGCCCUUGUGAAAAGGAACGUUUGAAGUGCUGUGUUGUGAAAAAUGGACUAUAAUUUGCUGGUUAUGAAUUCAACUGUUUGUGUGGAAUGAGGGUUACACAAGGUGCCUCUCCCCCCUUGGGCUUAUUUUGGAGAGUUCGAGAGAUUUUCACAGUUCGCGUUUUGGUGAUGAACAUUGUUUCCAUCCGUGUUUGUGUGAACAGUUGGGGAGUUCUGGAAUUAACACGUGUUGAAGAUCGAUCAGUGUUUGCGUGGGUAUUUGUUGACUUUGAUGUCCAUGGGCGCUGGAAAGCAGAUUCCCCCGAGGCAGACGAUCUUUGGCUAAUCGGGGCAUGUGUGCGUCUUCUUGCUGGAGCAGGAGAUUCAGACUGAGGACGCCUGGAAGUGUGUUUAUGUUCAUUUGAAGACGAGCUCAUUGUGUUGGUGUGGAUACCAUGAACUGUAGGAUUCGAGGCUCCUUCAGAUUGCUCUUUGGACUGUGUAUUGUGGACUUGACUAUGCUGCGUGACCUUUGGAGUGGGCACCUUAUGCCAGAAGCGGGCCUAUGUUGCACAUUGUAUUGGCGGGGUUUCGUAACAAGUGAUUGGUGACUAUAGUUGCCGUUUGGAGGGUGGUGGGCAUUUGUCAUGAUUCUGUCACCAUUCAGGACUUCGCUCCAAUCAGGAAACAUGUCUGCCACAACAUGACCAUCUGCUACUAUCUGUGCAGGAUAUACAAUGCUUAUUUUGCUAUUUGGGUGCAAACCACGGAGUCUUUUUAGCUCUGGCCAUAAAUUUUUUCGAGCAUUCACAAUCUCUUUAGGAUAGUCUCUGUUUAUGUUAAAUGGUAUAUUUCUUAAUUUAUAUGCAUUUGCCAAUACAAUCUCUGUAUCUCUAAAGUCUAGGAAAUAAACGAUGAUAGCUCUGGUGGAAUUCGGGCGGAAUCUACCUAGUCUUUGUGCUCUAGGAAUUGAAGGGCAUGGGUCAAUUUGAAGAUUGUCUUUUAGGAACCUGGCAAUUGUGGAAUGACAGUCUUUACCUUUCAUUUCGGCUUUACCACCUAUAAUAAGGUUAUUUCUCCGGCUUCUAGCCUCCAGAUCAAUUGACUUCUAUUCGAGUAAUCUCAAUCUAACGUCAUGUUGGUAUACUGAAUUUUCUAGUGAUUUCACUCGGUUGUGUAAGCUCAAGCAGUCAUCAACUUUCUGUUCAAUACAGCUCAUCCGUGCAAACAUUACAGACAGUUUAUCGUCCAUACAUAGAUUUUCAUAUUCAUGUUGUGAGAUUGAAUGCUCCUCACCUUGAGUACUUUGACUGCCCGUGUUUACUCGUGCCCGUUUUCUGUUGGCCGCCAUUUCUUUGUUUGCUAAUACUUUGAAUAGGUUUUCUGUCACAAACACAUCAUGCUCACCGCUCAUAUACGAGCUUUUAUUGUUAGAGUGAUCAAUUGUGCACACUUUAUUCAAAGCUAUGAAAAUAUUAUACAAUG